CCUACGGGAGGCAGCAGUGAGGAAUAUUGGUCAAUGGGCGGAAGCCUGAACCAGCCAAGUCGCGUGCGGGAUGAAGGCCCUGCGGGUCGUAAACCUCUUUUGCCGGGGAGCAGAGGUCCGGACGUGUCCGGGCCGGGAGAGUACCCGUAGAAAAAGCAUCGCCUAACUCCGUGCCAGCAGCCGCGGUAAUACGGAGGAUGCGAGCGUUAUCCGGAUUUAUUGGGUUUAAAGGGUGCGUAGGCGGGCCUUUAAGCCGGCGGUCAAAUGUCGGGGCUCAACCCCGGCCUGCCGUCUGAACUGGGGGCCUUGAGUGGGCGAGAAGUAUGCGGAAUGCGUGGUGUAGCGGUGAAAUGCAUAGAUAUCACGCAGAACCCUGAUUGCGAAGGCAGCAUACCGGCGCCCUACUGACGCUGAGGCACGAAAGUGCGGGUAUCGAACAGGAUUAGAUACCCCAGUAGUC
rnacentral:rRNA from 1 species